rnacentral:misc_RNA from 1 species
GAUGAAGAACGCAGCGAAAUGCGAUAAGUAGUGUGAAUUGCAGAAUUCAGUGAAUCAUCGAAUCUUUGAACGCACAUUGCGCCCCUUGGUAUUCCAUGGGGCAUGCCUGUUCGAGCGUCAUUUGUACCUUCAAGCCUUGCUUGGUGUUGGGUGUUUGUCUCGCCUCUGCGCGCAGACUCGCCUCAAAACAAUUGGCAGCCGGCGUAUUGAUUUCGGAGCACAGUACAUCUCGCGCUUUGCACUCAGAACGACGACGUCCAAAAGUACAUUUUUACACUCUUGACCUCGGAUCAGGUAGGGAUACCCGCUGAACUUAAGCAUAUCAAUAAGCGGAGGA